GACGAACCACACGACCGUUAUUCGGAAUCACUGGGCUUAAAGGGUGCGUAGGCGGCGCGGUAAGUCGGGUGUGAAAUCUUGGAGCUUAACUCCGAAACUGCAUUCGAUACUGCCGUGCUUGAGGACUGGAGAGGAGACUGGAAUUUACGGUGUAGCGGUGAAAUGCGUAGAUAUCGUAAGGAAGACCAGUGGCGAAGGCGGGUCUCUGGACAGUUCCUGACGCUGAGGCACGAAGGUCAGGGGAGCAAACGGG
rnacentral:rRNA from 1 species